rnacentral:rRNA from 1 species
CUUUACUAUAGCCUGGAAUUGUGUUCGGGCUUUUCUUGCGCAGCCUAGGUGGGAGGCUAUGAAGAUUUCCUUCCGGGGAAGUUGGAGCCAUCAGUGAGAGACCACUCUGGAGAGGCUAGAAUCCUAAUGGUGAUCCUUGAAUCAGGGCACUUGACAGUUUCAGGUGGGCAGUUUUUCUGGGGCGGAAGCCUCAUAAAGGGUAACUGAGGCGCGCAAAGGUCCCCUCAGUCUGGACGGAAAUCAGACAACGAGUGUAAAGGCAAAAGGGGGCUUGACUGCAAGACCUACAAGUCGAGCAGGAGCGAAAGCUGGCCCUAGUGAUCCGACGGUACCGUGUGGAAGGGCCGUCGCUCAACGAAUAAAAGUUA